UACAGAGGUCUCAAGCGUUGCUCGGAUUCAUUGGGCUUAAAGGGCGCGUAGGCGGGUGCUCAAGUCCGGGGUGAAAUCCCACAGCUCAACUGUGGAACUGCCUCGGAUACUGGGUGUCUCGAGGGUGGCAGGGGUAUGCGGAACUAUCGGUGGAGCGGUGAAAUGCGUUGAUAUCGAUAGGAACUCCGGUGGCGAAGGCGGCAUACUGGUCCACUUCUGACGCUGAGGCGCGAAAGCCAGGGGAGCAAACGGG
rnacentral:rRNA from 1 species